rnacentral:rRNA from 1 species
GAGUUUGAUCAUGGCUCAGGACGAACGCUGGCGGCGUGCCUAAUGCAUGCAAGUCGAACGAACUCGACCUUCGGGUCAUAUGAGUGAGCGGCGAACGGGUGAGUAACACGUGAGAAACCUGCCCCGAAGUUCGGAAUAACUCAGGGAAACUUGAGCUAAUACCGGAUGCCCCCCAUCGAUCGAGUGGUUGAUGGAGGAAAGAUUUAUCGCUUCGGGAGGGUCUCGCGGCCUAUCAGCUUGUUGGUGAGGUAACGGCUCACCAAGGCAUUGACGGGUAGCUAGUCUGAGAGGACGAAUAGCCACACUGGGACUGAGACACGGCCCAGACUCCUACGGGAGGCAGCAGCAGGGAAUCUUGCACAAUGGACGAAAGUCUGAUGCAGCGACGCCGCGUGGGGGAUGAAGGCCCUAGGGUCGUAAACCCCUUUCAGUGGGGACGAAGCUGACGGUACCCACAGAAGAAGGUCCGGCCAACUACGUGCCAGCAGCCGCGGUAAGACGUAGGGACCGAGCGUUGUCCGGAAUUAUUGGGCGUGAAGAGCUCGUAGGCGGUUGCGUAAGUCGGAUGUGAAAACUCAGGGCUCAACCCUGAGACGCCAUCCGAUACUGCGCUGACUCGAAUCCAGUAGGGGAGUGUGGAAUUCCUGGUGUAGCG